rnacentral:rRNA from 1 species
AGGACUAACGCUGGCGGCGUGCCUAACACAUGCAAGUCGAACGAGGGGUAGCAAUACCCCUAGUGGCAGACGGGUGAGUAACACGUAGUCAACCUACCUCUUAAUGGGGGAUAACUAGCCGAAAGGUUAGCUAAUACCGCAUAGGAUCGUCGAGUGGCAUCACACGACGAUGAAAGGAGCAAUCCGUUGAGAGAGGGGACUGCGUCCCAUUAGUUAGUUGGUGGGGUAAUGGCCUACCAAGACUCCGAUGGGUAGCUGGCUUGAGAGAGCGACCAGCCACACUGGAACUGAGACACGGUCCAGACUCCUACGGGAGGCAGCAGUGAGGAAUUUUUCCGCAAUGGGGGAAACCCUGACGGAGCGACGCCGCGUGUGGGAAGAAGGCCUUCGGGUCGUAAACCACUGUCGAGGGGGACGAUAUUGACGGUACCCCUGGAGGAAGCCCCGGCUAACUACGCGCCAGCAGCCGC